GCAUAUCAAUAAGCGGAGGAAAAGAAACUAACAAGGAUUCCCCUAGUAACGGCGAGUGAAGCGGGAAGAGCACAAAUUUUAAAUCUACCUGGUUUUCAGGUCGAGUUGUAAUUUGAAGAAACGUUUUUUACGUUCCGGGUUGGAUUAAAUCCUUUGGGAUAAGGUAUCAUGGAGGGUGAGAAUCCCGUGUAUACCAACCACUGGAAUGUUAUUAAUACGAUUUCUAAGAGUCGAGUUGUUUGGGAAUGCAGCUCUAAAUGGGUGGUAAAUUUCACCUAAUGCUAAAUAUAAGCGAGAGACCGAUAGUGAACAAGUACCGUGAGGGAAAGAUGAAAAGAACUUUGAAAAGAGAGUUAAAUAGUACGUGAAAUUGUUGAAAGGGAAACGGUUGAAGUCAGUCAUACCGGUGGGAAUCAACUUAGGGGAAACUCUAAGUGCACUUCUUCGCUUGGUAGGUUAGCGUCGAUUUUGGAUGUCAUAAAAUGACUGGGGGAAGGUAGCUCCUUUUAGGAGUGUUAAGCCCUUAGUAGAUGUGAUGUCUGAGAUCGAGGAUUGCAACGGAUACCUUUUAGGUUAACCGCCUGGUCUCUAAUACGAACUUAGGUUACGGACAGCAUGCUGACUGUGAUCUAAUCUUCGGUUAAAAGAUCAGAGUGAGUGUAAAUUCGUUAAGGACGCUGACGUAAUGGCUUUAAACGAC
rnacentral:rRNA from 2 species